AUACUCUGGUUUCUCUUCAGAUCAUAUAAAUCUUUCGCCUUUUAGGAAAGAUUUCCAUGGAGAGAAACCACUUUGGUUAGGUGUAAAAAAUACAAGCGCACAUGCAUGUGG